UACGAAGGGGGCUAGCGUUGUUCGGAAUUACUGGGCGUAAAGCGCGUGUAGGCGGCAGGGCAUGUCGGAUGUGAAAUCCCGUGGCUCAACCACGGAAGUGCACCCGAAACUGCCCAGCUUGAGUCUCGGAGAGGAAGGCGGAAUGCUUGGUGUAGAGGUGAAAUUCGUAGAUAUCAAGCGGAACACCGGUGGCGAAGGCGGCCUUCUGGACGAUGACUGACGCUGAGACGCGAAAGCGUGGGGAGCAAACAGG
rnacentral:rRNA from 1 species